AUGGGGUUUAGCAACCUUUCUCUAUCCAUAUGCUCCAUUGCAUUACUCUUAGCUGCUCAAGUCUCCCUAGCCCGAAAAGUCGGUUAUGCUCCGAACCCCUCAAACCCCCACCAAGACUUCGUCGACGAACACAACAGAGCUCGAGCAGCAGUCGGCGUCGGUCCAAUCCGAUGGAACGACACUGUAGCAGCCUACGCUCAGAACUAUGCCAACACAAGAAUCAGAGGGUGUGACAUGGAGCACUCGGGAGGGCCUUACGGCGAAAACUUGGCGGAAGGCUAUGGAGAAAUGACGGGCGCUCAGGCCGUGAAGUUUUGGGUGACUGAGAGACCAAACUACGACUACGGCUCCAACAAAUGUGUUGGGGAUGAAUGUGGGCAUUAUACUCAGGUGGUUUGGCGGAACUCGGUUCAUCUUGGUUGUGCUAGGGCAAAGUGUGACAACAAUUGGGUUUUUGUCAUUUGCAGCUACGAUCCUCCUGGUAACUAUGAGGGCGAGCGUCCCUACUAG
rnacentral:lncRNA from 1 species